GGAUCGUUUCCUGUGCUAGAGCCCUACGAUCUAUCUAUCUAUUGAUUAUCUAUUGUCCUUUACCACCUAAUGUGUCAUUUUUCCUAUCUCUUAUAUUCAUUCGUUGUCAUUUUGCGUUCCAGCUUUGGUUGACUUUUCUGAUGAAGAAGGUUACGGCAAGUACUUGGAUCUUCACGAACCUUAUGAUAAAUAUAUGAACAUCAAGGGAAUCGAGAGAAUAGACUAUCUUGCGUAUUUGGAAACAUUCGACCGCUUGUUCGACAUUCCCAAAGAGAAGAAAACACACGAAUACAAAAGAUACAUCAUCGUUCUCCUUGAUUACCUUUACUACUAUUGUCAACGUGUCCAACCGCUGGUCGAUCUUGAUAAGGAAAUGGAGGAAACCCAAGAAGAAUUUGAUAGAAACUGGGCGCAAGGAUGAUUUCCAGGAUGGCCCAAAGAUACCGGAAGUGCUUUGGCGCAAUCUGGGGCACAUCUUGAUCUGUGUGGUUUCUCAUCUGCUGAGCUUUGGUUGACUUUUCUGAUGAAGAAGGUUACGGCAAGUACUUGGAUCUUCACGAACCUUAUGAUAAAUAUAUGAACAUCAAGGGAAUCGAGGUAAUUCAACUAGGUCGCAUGCGUUUAGUUAUGAAAUUCCCGCCGCUGUUUUAAACCAAUCAGUAAUCAAAAUGAAUAUUUACGAAAAGCAGCGUCAGCGAUAUGAAUGGAACAAUGAAAAAUGACAAAACCAUGGACAAAACUGACCAAAAUUUGAAAAUUUUGACAUUAAACAUUGACAAAAUAACAAAUCAUGACAACAUUAUUAUAUUUAAAAUAACUUUUUCUACAAUACAUAGAGCAAAAAAGAAAUAAUUACUGGAUCAAAAUUCUUUUUGGA